rnacentral:rRNA from 1 species
UACGUAGGGUGCAAGCGUUGUCCGGAAUUAUUGGGCGUAAAGAGCUCGUAGGCGGUUCGUCGCGUCGGCUGUGAAAACCCGGAGCUCAACUCCGGGCCUGCAGUCGAUACGGGCGGACUAGAGUUCGGCAGGGGAGACUGGAAUUCCUGGUGUAGCGGUGAAAUGCGCAGAUACUCAGGAGGAACACCGGUGGCGAAGGCGGGUCUCUGGGCCGAUACUGACGCUGAGGAGCGAAAGCGUGGGGAGCGAACAGG